rnacentral:lncRNA from 1 species
UUUAAGAUUAGGCAAAAUCAUUAACUAUUUCAAUGUUCAUGAUACCUCAGACAACUGCGGUGUUGAUUCAAAGUUUCACAAUUUUUUUUUUUCAAAUUGGUUUUUUGCCUUAAAACAAUCACCGGAAUUGGUUUUUUGCCUUAAAACUUCGGCUUGAGCCACCAUUAAAGAGGAUGUUAGCAUUUGCAAAGAGAAUGGUGGCUUUAAAUAUGUAGUUCAAGCAUAUGGCAUUGCAGGGAAGACCCAUUUGGACCAUAGCUUUGGUAUGUAACAUCAUAUUCUGAUACUUUGUUUGGAUAAUCUGCAAAAUAAUUGGUGUCGGACGGUUCGGAUUAGGAAUGUUAAAAUAUCAUAUCAAUGAUAGAUUUUGCUCCAAAAUUGUUUUUGGUACAUGAAAACCAAGAAGAAUAGUUGUCUGCUCUAGAUUUAUCCGUGGCCUGAAUUGUCUGCCCAGCCGCUUGCAUAACUCAACACGGAUUUCGAAUCGUGUAUAGAAUUUUUAGGCUUGAAUUCGGCUG